CUUUUUGUCAGAAUGCGGAGGAUACAAUGUCUGUUGAACAGCUGACAGAAUCGGCGAUUGCUAUGAGUAAGGUCUUAAAUGAGGCUCAUACUAACACUAGAGCUUACCAAGAAAGGGUUAGGCAACAAUCCAAACAGAAGAAAGCCCAGAAGGAAUUCAAAGUGGGGGACAAAGUGUGGAGGAAAAAUAUAUUAAGGAGCCAACAGAGAAAGGGUGGAAAACUGGAGGCAAACUUUCUAGGCCCUUAUACGAUCACUAAAUUGGAAGGGAAAAGUGCAGACCUCGAAGAUGAGGGGGGGUUGAAAUUUCCAAGAAUAAAUGUUGAUCACUUGAGGCUACAUGUUGUGGAACAACCCCGGAUCCCACAUAAAAUAAAGUCUUCUCCACCACCACUCCCUGUGGUCUCUAUCGGCCCCUCCUAAAAGGGCAUCUCCACCACUACUCCCUGGCCCGUCCUCACUGGCAUCUCCACCACCACCACUCCCUGUGGUCUCUACUGCCCCCUCCUCACUGGCAUCUCCACCACCACCAUUCUCUGGCCCAUCCUCACCGGCGUCUCCACCACUAUUUCCUGGCCCCUCCUCACCAGCAUCUCCACCACCACCACUCCCUGUGGUCUCUACUGCCCUCUCAUUACCGGCAUCUAUACCACCACCAUUCUCUGGCCCAUCCUCACCGGCGUCUCCACCACUACUUCCUGGCCCCUGCUCACCGGCAUCUCCACCACCACCACUCCCUGUGGGCUCUACUGCCCCCUCCUCACCGGCAUCUCCACCACCACCAUUCUCUGGCCUGUCCUCACCGGCAUCUCCACCACCACCACUCCCUGUGGGCUCUACUGCCCCCUCCUCACCGGCAUCUCCACCACCACCAUUCUCUGGCCUGUCCUCACCGGCAUCUCCACCACCAUCACUCCCUGUGGGCUCUACUGCCCCCUCCUCACCGGCAUCUCCACCACCACCAUUCUCUGGCCCAUCCUCACCGGCCCCUACUCACCGGCAUCUCCACCACCACCACUCCCUGUGGUCUCUACAGGCCCCUCCUCACCGGCAUCUCCACCACCACCAUUCUCUGGCCCAUCCUCACCGGCCCCUACUCACCGGCAUCUCCGCCACCACCACUCCCUGUGGUCUCUACAGGCCCCUCCUCACCGGCAUCUCCACCACCAUCACUCCCUGUGGGCUCUACUGCCCCCUCCUCACUGGCAUCUCCACCACCACCAUUCUCUGGCCCAUCCUCACCGGCCCCUCCUCACCGGCAUCUUCACCACCACCACUCCCUGUGUUCUCUACAGGCCUCCCCUCACUGGCAUCUCCACCACCACCACUCUCUGUGGUCUCUACAGGCCCCUCCUCACCGGCAUCUCCACCUCUGGCCAAUGCCAAAGUAUCUUCAGGAGCUUAAAUUUUUUCAGGGUCUUCAGAUAUAGAAUCAUGUAUGUACUUAAACAACAAUUUAGACAGUUAUAAUACUGCUACUACUUAUAAUAAUACAAAGUACACAUAGCAGUUACACAUGAAUUCACCAGUUGUGAGUAACACCA
rnacentral:lncRNA from 1 species